GUCAGGCAUGGUGGCGUAUGCCUGUAAUCCCAGCUACUUGGGAGGCUGAGGCAUGAGAAUCACUUGAACCCAGGAGGUGGAGGUUGCAGUGAGCUGAGAUCAUGCCACUGCACUCCGGCCUGGGUGACAGAGGGAGACCGAGUCUCAA
ensembl:misc_RNA Metazoa_SRP Metazoan signal recognition particle RNA